rnacentral:tRNA from 1 species
GGUUAAUUAAUAUAAUUAGUAUAUUUGGUUUCCAACCUCAAAGUCUCUUUAGAUUAACUA